rnacentral:rRNA from 1 species
GAUGAACGCUGGCGGCGUGCCUAACACAUGCAAGUCGAGCGGCAGCGAGGGGUGCUUGCACCCUGUCGGCGAGCGGCGGACGGCUGAGUAACGCGUGGGAACGUGCCCCAAAGUGAGGAAUAACUGCCCGAAAGGGUAGCUAAUACCGCAUAUUAUCUUCGGAUCAAAGGAUUUAUCCGCUUUGGGAGCGGCUCGCGUCGGAUUAGGUAGUUGGUGAGGUAAUGGCUCACCAAGCCGACGAUCCGUAGCUGGUCUGAGAGGAUGACCAGCCAGACUGGAACUGAGACACGGUUCUGACUCCUACGGGAGGCAGCAGUGAGGAAUCUUCCACAAUGGGCGAAAGCCUGAUGGAGCAACGCCGCGUGCAGGACGAAGGCCUUCGGGUUGUAAACUGCUUUUAUAAGUGAGGAAUAUGACGGUAACUUAUGAAUAAGGAUCGGCUAACUACGUG